UAAUCGUACAAAUGCAUAUAGAGGUUUCCUGCUAAAUCAUUAAUGUGUUUUUGUGCGUAUAAACCCAUGCAACAAGGUGACUGGUGGAUGCAGCCUGUUAACAGCACAGAGAGAAACUACAGAGACCGAGAUGUGAACAGAUAGCAAGAACUAGUUCUAGAAGUGAACUACGACGUUUGAUGAAACAGAAGCAACUGAAGAAAGGGCCGUGGUCCAAAUAAAGAGAUGUACACCAUGUUGGACCUCCAAACAGCCCUCAAGAAGUGAAGUUAAUGUGA